GUACUCCGCAUCGGCACAUCCAUCUCGGUUGGCUCUGGGUCAACCUUGUUCUGGUUCGACCGCUGGCUAGGGGACUCCCCCCUGACUGCGCAAUUUCUAGAACUAUUUGCCAUUGCAGCUGACCCUCGGGUCUCUGUUGAGACGGUCCUUAUUGACUUAGGGCGUCUCGCCUCCCGACGUCCUUUUGGCCCACUCAAGGUGGCUGCUUGGGACUCCCUCCUCCAAGACAUCACCCUUAUGCCGAUGAACGUCGAGGAGGACUGGGAUGCUCUUUCCUGGCGCCUUGAGCCCUCUGGCUGUUUCUCCACGAAGACCCUGUACGCCGCCAUUGCACCCUCGGCGGCCCCGGAACCCUUUAGCCUGAUCUGGGACAUCCGCCUACCGCUGAAGAUCAGGAUUUUCCUGUGGCAAUGGAUCCAUGGACGCCUCCCUUCUGGGGUGGAAGUCCUCAAGCGCAAUGCCCCGGGCAAUGCUUUGCGCCAUCUGUGGCACGGUAGAGGAUGCCAACCACAUCUUUUUCUCGUGCUACACUGCCCAGUUCCUAUGGGCCUGCUUCCGCGAAACGGUUGGCGGACAGUGGUGCAAUACCAACUUCCCUGA
rnacentral:rRNA from 1 species